GACGAACGCUGGCGGCGUGCUUAACACAUGCAAGUCGAACGGAAAGGCCCUGCUUUUGUGGGGUGCUCGAGUGGCGAACGGGUGAGUAACACGUGAGUAACCUGCCCUUGACUUUGGGAUAACUUCAGGAAACUGGGGCUAAUACCGGAUAGGAGCUCCUGCUGCAUGGUGGGGGUUGGAAAGUUUCGGCGGUUGGGGAUGGACUCGCGGCUUAUCGGCUUGUUGGGGGGGUAGUGGCUUACCAAGGCUUUGACGGGUAGCCGGCCUGAGAGGGUGACCGGGCACAAGAGGCCUGAGAGACGGCCCAGACGCCUACGGGAGGCAGCAGUGGGGAGUAUUGCACAGUGGGCGGAAGCCUGAUGCGGAGACGCCGCGUGCGGGAAGACGGCCUUCGGGUUGUGAACCGCUUUCGCCUAUGACGAAGCGUGAGUGACGGUAAUGGGUAAAGAAGCACCGGCUAACUACGUG
rnacentral:rRNA from 1 species